UGAGGAAUAUUGGUCAAUGGACGAGAGUCUGAACCAGCCAAGUAGCGUGAAGGAUGACUGCCCUAUGGGUUGUAAACUUCUUUUAUAUGGGAAUAAAACGUUCCACGUGUGGGAUUUUGUAUGUACCAUAUGAAUAAGGAUCGGCUAACUCCGUGCCAGCAGCCGCGGUAAUACGGAGGAUUCGAGCGUUAUCCGGAUUUAUUGGGUUUAAAGGGAGCGUAGGUGGAUUGUUAAGUCAGUUGUGAAAGUUUGCGGCUCAACCGUAAAAUUGCAGUUGAAACUGGCAGUCUUGAGUACAGUAGA
rnacentral:rRNA from 1 species